CGAAAGCCUGACGGAGCAAUACCGCGUGAGGGAGAAAGGCUUUUGGGUUGUAAACCUCUUUUCUCAAGGAAGAAAAAAAUGACGGUACUUGAGGAAUAAGCAUCGGCUAACUCCGUGCCAGCAGCCGCGGUAAUACGGAGGAUGCAAGCGUUAUUCGGAAUUAUUGGGCGUAAAGCGUCCGCAGGUGGUAUUUCAAGUCUGCUGUCAAAGACCGAAGCUUAACUUCGGAAAGGCAGUGGAAACUGAAAAACUAGAGUACGGUAGGGGUAGAGGGAAUUUCCAGUGUAGCGGUGAAAUGCGUAGAGAUUGGAAAGAACACCAGUGGCGAAGGCGCUCUACUGGGCCGUAACUGACACUCAGGGACGAAAGCUAGGGGAGCG
rnacentral:rRNA from 1 species